GCGAAACCUCCGCAAUGCGAGCAAUCGCGACGGGGGGACCCCAAGUGCCACUCUUAACGGGGUGGCUUUUCUUGAGUGUAAAAAGCUCUUGGAAUAAGAGCUGGGCAAGACCGGUGCCAGCCGCCGCGGUAACACCGGCAGCUCAAGUGGUGGCCAUUUUUAUUGGGCCUAAAGCGUUAGUAGCCGGCCUGAUAAGUCUCUGGUGAAAUCCUACAGCUUAACUGGGGGAAUUGCUGGAGAUACUAUUAGGCUUGAGGUCGGGAGAGGUUAGCGGUACUCCCAGGGUAGGGGUGAAAUCCUAUAAUCCUGGGAGGACCACCUGUGGCGAAGGCGGCUAACUGGAACGAAACUGACGGUGAGUAGCGAAAGCCGGAGGCGCGAACC
rnacentral:rRNA from 1 species